rnacentral:rRNA from 1 species
AUUGAACGCUGGCGGCAUGCCUUACACAUGCAAGUCGAACGGUAACAGGUCUUCGGAUGCUGACGAGUGGCGAACGGGUGAGUAAUACAUCGGAACGUGCCCGAUCGUGGGGGAUAACGGAGCGAAAGCUUUGCUAAUACCGCAUACGAUCUACGGAUGAAAGCAGGGGACCGCAAGGCCUUGCGCGGACGGAGCGGCCGAUGGCAGAUUAGGUAGUUGGUGGGAUAAAAGCUUACCAAGCCGACGAUCUGUAGCUGGUCUGAGAGGACGACCAGCCACACUGGGACUGAGACACGGCCCAGACUCCUACGGGAGGCAGCAGUGGGGAAUUUUGGACAAUGGGCGCAAGCCUGAUCCAGCCAUGCCGCGUGCAGGAUGAAGGCCUUCGGGUUGUAAACUGCUUUUGUACGGAACGAAAAGACUCUGGUUAAUACCUGGGGCCCAUGACGGUACCGUAAGAAUAAGCACCGGCUAACUACGUGCCAGCAGCCGCUGUAAUAC